AAGUUUGAGACAGCCUCCAACUUUACCAGUUGUCCUUUGGUAACGUCACUCAGUUUUCCUGGCCUACAUCACCUGUACCUGGCCUGCGUGUUUGAGAUGGCCAACGCCUGGGACAGCUACAUCGACGACCUGACGCGGGACGAACCUGGAAGUCCUCAAAUCGUCGAGGGGGCCAUCGUGGGAUUGGAUGGCAACGUCUGGGCUGCAAACGGCAGCUUGAAAAACAUCACGGCCGCCGAGGUGGCCGCCCUCACGGCCCAUCCUGACGGGCGGGGCCACCCUGGGCGGCGUCAGGUGCACCGUGGUACGCGACUGGUUUCACGACAUAGAUAGGACCAUAGAGCUGGCGACCAAAACGGACAAUCUGGACAUGGUCCAGUGCAUUUCCAUCGCUGCCACCAACAAAGCUUUACUCAUUGCUAAAGGGGACCGUAUGGCCGGUUCCCAGGCUGCAGGAUCUGUAGCGCAGAGGCCUUUCAAAUUAGCAAAGCACCUGGAAGACAGCGGCAUGUGAAGCAGCCGAGCUCAUUCUGUGCCAAGGAGUCAUCAGCCACUCUGUCACAGCAUCACAGUGUGUGUGUGUGUGUGUGUGUGUGUGUGUGUGUGUGUGUGUGUGUGUAUGUGUGUGUGUGUGUGUGUGUGUGUUGCUGAUUCAGCUUCACUAAGAUCACCGAGAUGGUAAAAAUGACUCACUUUUCUCUGUUUCAACCUCCAAAAUGAAAAUGUUGGGUUUGUCCAGACUAAGGACAUGAUUUGAAGACAUCACUCUUGGUUAUCGUUGUUUGUUAUGUUUGAUCGCCAAAAUAAUUAAUUUAAAAAAAUAUUAUUUAGACAAUGAAAAUGAUCAUGUGCAGAACGACUUGACUUAUUGGUUUUAUUGUGCUUUUUUGUGCCAUAUUAACCUUUAUGGUUACAGAUGACAAUCAUGCAAUUCAAUUCAAUUCAAUUUUAUUUAUUUGUAUAGCCCA